UGGUGGAGUGAUUUGUCUGGUUAAUUCCGUUAACGAACGAGACCUCGACCUGCUAAAUAGUUCGGCGUACUCUCGGGUACGUACGCGACUUCUUAGAGGGACUGUCGGUUUUAGCCGAAGGAAGUUCGAGGCAAUAACA
rnacentral:rRNA from 1 species